rnacentral:rRNA from 1 species
UACGAAGGUGGCAAGCGUUACUCGGAAUUACUAGGCGUAAAGGGCAGGUAGGCGGUCUGUUUAGUCUGUUGUGAAAGCUCCUUGCUUAACGGGGAGAGGCCAACAGAUACUGGCAGGCUUGAGUAUAGGAGAGGGUACUGGAAUUCCCGGUGUAGCGGUGAAAUGCGCAGAGAUCGGGAGGAACACCAAUGGCGAAAGCAGGUACCUGGACUAUUACUGACGCUCAGCUGCGAAAGCUAGGGGAGCAAACAGG